rnacentral:tRNA from 1 species
GCGGGUGUAGCUCAAUGGUAGAGUUCUGGCCUUCCAAGCCAGCUGUGAGGGUUCGAUCCCCUUCCCCCGCUCCA